rnacentral:rRNA from 1 species
UACGGGGGGGGCAAGCGUUGUUCGGAAUUACUGGGCGUAAAGGGCUCGUAGGCGGCCAACUAAGUCGGACGUGAAAUCCCCAGGCUCAACCUGGGAACUGCGUCCGAUACUGGAUGGCUUGAAUCCGGGAGAGGGAUGCAGAAUUCCAGGUGUAGCGGUGAAAUGCGUAGAUAUCGGAAGGAACAUCAGUGGCGAAAGCGGCUUCCUGGACCAGCACCGACGUUCAGGCACGAAAGCGUGGGGAGCAAACAGG